rnacentral:rRNA from 1 species
AACGGCGAGUGAAGCGGCAAUAGCUCAAAUUUGAAAGCUGGCCCCUUCGGGGUCCGCGUUGUAAUUUGUAGAGGAUGAUUCGGCGAGGGCUCCCGUCUAAGUCCCUUGGAACAGGGCGUCAUAGAGGGUGAGAAUCCCGUAUGUGAUGGGCUGCCUUAGCCAUGUGAAUCUCCUUCGACGAGUCGAGUUGUUUGGGAAUGCAGCUCUAAAUGGGAGGUAAAUUUCUUCUAAAGCUAAAUACCGGCCAGAGACCGAUAGCGCACAAGUAGAGUGAUCGAAAGAUGAAAAGCACUUUGGAAAGAGAGUUAAAAAGUACGUGAAAUUGUUGAAAGGGAAGCGCUUGCAGCCAGACUUGUCCGCAGUUGCUCAGCUUGUCUCCUGACAGGCGUACUCUUCUGCGGCCAGGCCAGCAUCAGUUCGGGCGGUCGGAUAAAGGCCCGGGGAAUGUAGCUCCUCUCGGGGAGUGUUAUAGCCCCGGGUGCAAUGCGGCCAGCCUGGACUGAGGAUCUCGCUUCGGCUAGGAUGCUGGCGUAAUGGCUGUAAGCGGCCCGUCUUGAAACACGGACCAAGGAGUCUAACAUCUAUGCGAGUGUUUGGGUGUCAAACCCAUGCGCGUAAUGAAAGUGAACGGAGGUGGGAACCCUCACGGGUGCACCAUCGACCGAUCCUGAUGUCUUCGGAUGGAUUUGAGUAAGAGCAUAGCUGUUGGGACCCGAAAGAUGGUGAACUAUGCCUGAAUAGGGUGAAGCCAGAGGAAACUCUGGUGGAGGCUCGCAGCGGUUCUGACGUGCAAAUCGAUCGUCAAAUUUGGGUAUAGGGGCGAAAGACUAAUCGAACCAUCUAGUAGCUGGUUCCUGCCGAAGUCCCCCCCUCGAGAAUA